rnacentral:lncRNA from 1 species
AAUGCCUGAAGCCCACCUCUGAGGUCUGCCAGCCUGGGUACCCAUCGGCUCUCAGGUGCGCCCCCUGAGGGUGCAGGACUGCAGCGCGGCCGCACGGGGGCAGCAGACACCGGGGCGCGCCUGGGCGCCCCGCGCUAGUGGGUGGAGAGUUCCCAAAGACUCGCUUGGUCCCCAAGCCCUGCGAGGCCGGUUUCCCGGUAACA